CCUACGGGUGGCAGCAGUGAGGAAUAUUGGUCAAUGGCCGAGAGGCUGAACCAGCCAAGUCGCGUGAGGGAAGACGGCCCUACGGGUUGUCAACCUCUUUUGUCGGGGAGCCAAGCGAAUCACGUGUGGUUCAUUGAGAGUACCCGAAGAAAUCGCCUCGGCUAACUCCGGGCAAGCAGCCGCGGUAAUACGGAGGAUGCGAGCGUUAUCCGGAUUUAUUGGGUUUAAAGGGUGCGCAGGCGGAGGUGCAAGUCAGCGGUCAAAUUGCGGGGCUCAACCCCGUACUGCCGUUGAAACUGCAUCCCUUGAGUGCGCGAGAAGUAUGCGGAAUGCGUGGUGUAGCGGUGAAAUGCAUAGAUAGCACGCAGAACUCCGAUUGCGAAGGCAGCAUACCGGCGCGCAACUGACGCUCAUGCACGAAAGCGUGGGUAUCGAACAGGAGUAGAUACCCCUGUAGUC
rnacentral:rRNA from 1 species